AACGAACGCUGGCGGCAUGCCUAACACAUGCAAGUCGAACGAGACCUUCGGGUCUAGUGGCGCACGGGUGCGUAACGCGUGGGAACCUGCCCUUAGGUUCGGAAUAACUCCCCGAAAGGGGUGCUAAUACCGGAUAAUGUCUUCGGACCAAAGAUUUAUCGCCUUUGGAUGGGCCCGCGUUGGAUUAGCUAGUUGGUAGGGUAAAAGCCUACCAAGGCGACGAUCCAUAGCUGGUCUGGGAGGAUGAUCAGCCACACUGGGACUGAGACACGGCCCAGACUCCUACGGGAGGCAGCAGUGGAGAAUAUUGGACAAUGGGCGAAAGCCUGAUCCAGCAAUGCCGCGUGAGUGAUGAAGGCCUUAGGGUUGUAAAGCUCUUUUACCCGGGAUGAUAAUGACAGUACCGGGAGAAUAAGCUCCGGCUAACUCCGUG
rnacentral:rRNA from 1 species